rnacentral:rRNA from 1 species
GUGUCAGCCGCCGCGGUAAUACCGGCAGUCCGAGUGAUGGCCGAUCUAAUUGGGCCUAAAGCGUCCGUAGCUGGCUGAACAAGUCCGUUGGGAAAUCUGUCCGCUUAACGGGCAGGCGUCCACCGGAAACUGUUCGGCUUGGGACCGGAAGAUCUGAGGGGUACGUCCGGGGUAGGAGUGAAAUCCUGUAAUCCUGGACGGACCACCGGUGGCGAAAGCGCCUCAGGAGGACGGAUCCGACAGUGAGGAACGAAAGCUAGGGUCUCGAACCGGAUUAGAAACCCCCGUAGUCC